CCUACGGGUGGCAGCAGUGAGGAAUAUUGGUCAAUGGCCGGAAGGCUGAACCAGCCAUGCCGCGUGAAGGUCAGUGCCCUAUGGGCGUUAAACUUCUUUUGUGCGGGAGCAAUAAUGGUCACGUGUGGCCAGACGAGAGUACCGUACGCAUAAGCAUCGGCUAACUCCGUGCCAGCAGCCGCGGUAAUACGGGGGAUGCAAGCGUUAUCCGGAUUUAUUGGGUUUAAAGGGUGCGUAGGCUGUGAGGUAAGUCAGCGGGGAAAUGCCCCCGCGCAACGGGGUGAAGUGCCAUUGAUACUGGCUUGCUGGAAUGCGGAUGCGGUGGGAGGAAUGUGUGGUGUAGCAGUGAAAUGCAUAGAUAUCACACAGAACACCGAUUGCGAAGGCAUCUCACGAAUCCGCGAUUGACGCUGAUGCACGAAAGCGUGGGUAUCAAACAGGAUUAGAUACCCCAGUAGUC
rnacentral:rRNA from 1 species